rnacentral:rRNA from 1 species
UACGUAGGGGGCUAGCGUUGUCCGGAAUCAUUGGGCGUAAAGCGCGUGUAGGCGGCCCGGUAAGUCCGCUGUGAAAGUCGGGGGCUCAACCCUCGGAUGCCGGUGGAUACUGUCGGGCUCGAGUACGGAAGAGGCGAGUGGAAUUCCUGGUGUAGCGGUGAAAUGGCGCAGAUAUCAGGAGGAACACCGGUGGCGAAGGCGGUUCUCUGGGCAUGUCCUGACGCUGAGAAGCGAAAGCAUGGGUAGCAAACAGGA